CUACGGGAGGCAGCAGUGGGGAAUUUUCCGCAAUGGGCGAAAGCCUGACGGAGCAAUACCGCGUGAGGGAAGACGGCCUAUGGGUUGUAAACCUCUUUUUUCAGGGAGGAAUUUUGACGUGUACCUGAAGAAUAAGCAUCGGCUAACUCCGUGCCAGCAGCCGCGGUAAGACGGAGGAUGCAAGUGUUAUCCGGAAUCACUGGGCGUAAAGCGUCUGUAGGUGGUUAAGCAAGUCAACUGUUAAAUCUUGAGGCUCAACUUCAAAAUCGCAGUCGAAACUGUUUGACUAGAGUAUAGUAGGGGUAAAGGGAAUUUCCGGUGUAGCGGUGAAAUGCGUAGAUAUCGGGAAGAACACCAGUGGCGAAGGCGCUCUGCUGGGCCAUAACUGACGCUCAUGGACGAAAGCCAGGGGAGCGAAAGGGAUUAGAUACCCCUGUAGUCCUGGCCGUAAACGAUGAACACUAGGUGUCGGGGGAAUCGACCCCCUCGGUGUCGUAGCCAACGCGUUAAGUGUUCCGCCUGGGGAGUACGCACGCAAGUGUGAAACUCAAAG
rnacentral:rRNA from 1 species